UAGCGUAGGGCGCAAGCGUUGUCCGGAAUUACUGGGCGUAAAGAGCUCGUAGGUGGUUUGUCGCGUUGUUCGUGAAAAUCUCACGGCUUAACUGUGAGCGUGCGGGCGAUACGGGCAGACUAGAGUACUGCAGGGGAGACUGGAAUUCCUGGUGUAGCGGUGGAAUGCGCAGAUAUCAGGAGGAACACCGGUGGCGAAGGCGGGUCUCUGGGCCGAUACUGACGCUGGAGGAGCGAAAGCAUGGGUAGCGAACAGG
rnacentral:rRNA from 1 species